rnacentral:rRNA from 1 species
UACGUAGGGUGCGAGCGUUGUCCGGAAUUAUUGGGCGUAAAGAGCUCGUAGGCGGUCUGUCGCGUCUGCUGUGAAAUCCCGAGGCUCAACCUCGGGCCUGCAGUGGGUACGGGCAGACUAGAGUGUGGUAGGGGAGACUGGAAUUCCUGGUGUAGCGGUGAAAUGCGCAGAUAUCAGGAGGAACACCGAUGGCGAAGGCAGGUCUCUGGGCCACUACUGACGUG